GGUCGAUCCUGCUUCAACAGGAACACAGAUCUGGUGGAUACCACAAACUCGACUUCCACACAUGUCUUUCCGAGGAGUUGCCUAAUACUGUACAAGCAGCCG